rnacentral:rRNA from 1 species
GGGACGAACGCUGGCGGCGUGCUUAAACAUGCAAGUCGAACGAGACCUUUGGUCUAGUGGCGAACGGCGGAGUAAUACAUAAGCAACCUGCCUCAAAGACCGGGAUAGCCCCUCGAAAGAGGGAUUAAUACCGGAUGUGGCCCUUGGUAGGCAUCUAUCAAGGAUUAAAACGAGUAAUCGGCUUUGAGAGGGGCUUGUGGCCUAUCAGCUUGUUGGUGGGGUAAUGGCCUACCAAGGCUUCGACGGGUAGCGGGUCUGAGAGGAUGAUCCGCCGACUGGGACUGAGACACGGCCCAGACUCCUACGGAGGCAGCAGUUGGGAAUCUUGCACAAUGGGCGAAAGCCUGAUGCAGCGACGCCGCGUGGAGGACGAAGUCUUUCGGAUGGUAAACUCCUUUUUACCAGGAACGAUAAUGACGGUACCUGGUGAAUAAGCCCGGAUAACUACGUGCAGCAGCCGAC